rnacentral:rRNA from 1 species
UAAUGCGUGACCAACCUCGCCCCAUGCUCCAGAAUAGCUCUUGGAAACGGGUGGUAAUGCUGGAUGCUCCAACUUGACGCAUGUCUUGUUGGAAAGUGUUUAGUGGCAUGGGAUGGGGUCGCGUCCUAUCAGCUUGUAGGCGGGGUAAUNGGCCCACCUAGGCUUCGACGGGUAGCCGGCCUGAGAGGGCGGACGGCCACAUUGGGACUGAGAUACGGCCCAGACUCCUACGGGAGGCAGCAGUG